rnacentral:tRNA from 1 species
UGGCCCAUGGUGUAAUCGGCAGCACACCAGUUUUUGGUACUGAGAGUCGGGGUUCGAGUCCCUGUGGGCCAGC